UGUGACUUGUGUCUUGUAAAU
rnacentral:piRNA from 1 species